ACAAAAAUGUCAUUCAUCAUCACCUUUGCCAAGCAUGGUGGCAGAAGUGUUCAUUCUGCCUCUGUUUUACUGUAAUUUGUUGCAAGUCCUGUGGAAACAAGAAACUAAACACUUAAGGCCUGUGAAUUCUGUGGAAAGGUGAGAGCAGCUUGGGGCGGUGCCCAGGCAGUGUGCUGGGCUCUGGGCACCUCAGUGGUGCUGGCUGGUGUGGGUGAGGCAUGAGGGUCCUGGGGUGGCUGGGCAGCAGGGGUGUGGGCAGGAAGCCAAGAGGGACCAUGCUCCCAGGCAAGCUGAGGGGGUGGAUGGCGGAAAGAAGAUGAGGUUCUAGGGAUCUGGAGAGAACUCCUCAGAGAUUGUUAUAAACCCUGAUAGCACUGGAGUUGUUGGACUUGAAAACAGGAUAGAGAAAAGGAACCAUUCUGCAGUCUUAGAGGGCAGAGGGGAGAUUUGUUUUCAAUCUUUUUGUAUCUUUAAAGCAUUUAUUUUUCUUGCAUUUGAAUAUAAACCAGCUUUGUAACUAAGCACUUGUCUUGUGCACUCAUCUUCAAGGAAAUGGGAGAGCACUUCUGCGGCCUCCACAGCAAUUUGUUAUACCAACUGUUAGCACAGAUGGGAAUGGUUUAACCUCAGAUAAUACAACUUGUGGAGGAAUAGUCAAUAAAUACUCAUUUAAGGAUCAGUCUAGGCAAAACAAUUAAGUGGACUUCAGUAGGAAUCUGUGGAAUAGCUAAGAAACAUGACCAGGCAACUCAGAUAUCACUUCAUUGUCAAAAUAAUUUCACUUGCGGAGACAAAGAUCUAUGAAGCUUCCAUUAUGACAAAUUCUGUUCCCAGCUUCACAAGCACUGCACAAAAAGCACACAACAUGUUGCAUGUGUCCAGAACUGCAGUGAGAACCUCUUCAUUUAAAUGUAUUUGUCCUAUUCAAGUGAUUCAGCAUGUAAUUAAGGUCUAUCGCGUUAUAAAAAUUAGCCACAGAUCACCAUUUGUUACAAGUGUGACUCACGGGGGCUAAGCCUGUUUAAUAUUCUGUCUGGCAGCAAAAUGUUCGAGGGCAGAAUCCAGAUCAAUACACACAAUUUUUUUUCAGUCUUCCCUGCGGUAGCAGUGUUGUACAUUUUGGCAUCUCUGUCUUGCCAACUGCAAUGAAAGAAAUUGUCAUUCAAAAUAAGACCGAUUAAAAACUGAUGUCCU
rnacentral:lncRNA from 1 species